UACGGGGGGGGCAAGCGUUGUUCGGAAUUACUGGGCGUAAAGGGCUCGUAGGCGGUCUGUUGCGUCGGCUGUGAAAACCCGAGGCUCAACCUCGGGCCUGCAGCCGAUACGGGCAGACUAGAGUUCGGCAGGGGAGACUGGAAUUCCGUGGUGUAGCGGUGAAAUGCGCAGAUAUCAGGAGGAACACCGGUGGCGAAGGCGGGUCUCUGGGCCGAUACUGACGCUGGAGGAGCG
rnacentral:rRNA from 1 species